rnacentral:tRNA from 1 species
GAGCGCUUCAAUGGCAUUGAAGAGGUCGUCGGUUCGAUCCCGAUCAGCUCCA